CUGCGGAAUAAAUCAAAGAUUGAUUUAUCAGUUAUUGAUUAUGUAAUUGGAGUAUUAUAUGAUUGAAUUAUAUGAGAAGUUAUUGGAAGAUUGAUUAUGGAUGGAAGAUUAUGAUUAUUGUUUAUUGAGAGUUGUAUGUGUUUUAGAUAGAGGAAGUCUGUGAUUACAAAAAUUUUGUGAAUCCAAAUUGAUUGGAGUGAAGUUUGUUAUUGCUGGUGUUGGAUGGAAUUUAUGAGUUUUGAGUAAUAUUUUAAGAGUACAAAGUUGCACACUGUUAUUAUCAAUUGAUGAAGGAAUAUUUUUACUAGAAGGAAGCAUUGUAAUAUUUUUUGAUGUUUUAAUGGUUC
rnacentral:lncRNA from 1 species